rnacentral:rRNA from 1 species
UACGGAGGGUGCAAGCGUUGCUCGGAAUCAUUGGGCGUAAAGCGCACGUAGGCGGCCCGGUAAGUCGGAUGUGAAAGCCCUCGGCUCAACUGAGGAAGUGCAUUCGAAACUGCCAGGCUUGAAUAUGGAAGAGGGUAGCGGAAUUCCCGGUGUAGAGGUGAAAUUCGUAGAUAUUCGGAAGAACACCAGUGGCGAAGGCGGCUCACUGGCCCGGUACUGACGCUGAGGUGCGAAAGCGUGGGGAGCAAACAGG